rnacentral:tRNA from 1 species
GGCCGCGUGGCCUAAUGGAUAUGGCGUCUGACUUCGAAUCAAGAAGUUGUGGGUUCGAGUCCAAUCGUGGUCA